AAAAAAUUAUACUCGUAUAUCAAAAGCCAAAGAAAUGAGAACACCGGCAUUGCACCAUUACGAAGUGAAGGUACCCUUCAUACAAACCCCUCUGAGAAAGCAAACAUCCUUAAUAAGCAAUUCCAAUCAGCUUUCACAUCUGAAAAAAAUAUAGAAAUACCAACGAAAGAACCUAGUUCACACCCUAUAAUGGAAAAAAUAAACAUCAGUAGAGAAGGAGUAUAUAAACUAAUAAAAAAUAUAAACACUAACAAAGCUACAGGACCAGAUACUAUCGCUGGCAAUAUACUUAAAGAAAACAUUGAAAUAACUUCAUACAUUCUUACUAUCAUCUUCAACAAAUCUCUUGAGACAGGCAAAGUACCUUCAGACUGGAACCAUGCUAACGUUACACC
rnacentral:lncRNA from 1 species